UUAGUUUUCAAAUUCUUCAGCUCAGCGUAAUACGUAAGGAAAAACGRAACCAUCGUUAAUACGAUACCCCAUUCGCUGAACGCAGCCACCAGAUGAAGGACGUAUCCCUGUGAAAUAAAUGUUAGUUAAAUCCAGUUUGUGUACGUAAGAAUGUGUACUGCAGACUACGUAAGAUUACGUAGAACGYUUGCGUUAACGUCACACACAUGGUCAUGCUUACUUACCCCGUCAGUUGGUUUCCAGUGCUUAUCAUCCUUUGGCUUUGGUAAUUUGGUGUAUGACUCCUUACCAGCGAUAUAAGCUGUGCAAUGUUAAGGGAUGCUGUAUGCAGUAUUCUGCUUUUAAUACGCUUGGAGAAACACAAAACUACUUAUGAGAACUACAACUACCACCAUGCUUUGCUACAAGGAAUGCUACUAAUAGUGAAUCUUGUGCUACACAAUUAUAAUAGGUAGUUAGUAAGGCUAAGAUUUAAGACACUGAAUAUGUCUACAUUGACGUCAUAUACUUGUUUGUGUUAGGUGGGUCAGGAAUAGCUGACUGGCGGAUUUUUCCUUAGUAGUGAAACACAGAGAAAUCAAGAAGAGGCGCUGUGCGUUUAGCUCAGUCCUUCGUAAAAAGACAAUAGUUUUUUUUACAAUUGAUUGAGCUUUACACACAACGCCUUGUCUUGAUUCUUUUGUGUUUGACUACUGAGAAAAAGUUUGCAAAGCGGCUAUUCUAAAGGCACAUCACCAUCCCUUGUAUUUUUUUUUUCAAGGAUACCCACAAAAAGACAACUACAGCACAGACAUGUUAAGACUGUUCUAGUGACACAGAUAGGUGUAGUCACUGCAGGUAUUGUUGUCCUGAUGUAGAAGCUUAAUGCUGUCUCAAUGAUAAAGUACAGACAGAGGACUGAAAAGGCUGAUAUGGAGGCAAUACUGUGGACCUUAAGAAUACUGGCCUCAUCAACAGCCUGGUAAAGAGAUGAAAUAUUGAUACUCACCAUUUAUUGACGCCAGACUUAACAAAAAAUCAAAUAUAUAUUCUUCAGGGCCAUAGGAUGCCAGCCAGCUGAAAUAUAAAAAAGACUACAACUUUACACAUUGUUUAACUUUAGAAGUGGGAAAUAGUGCUGCUACAUGUCCAAGAUGAACAGCAAUGGRGUAACUGAAAUAACAAAGGCAAUUAUCUUAAAUAUCAGCACUUGCGCUUAGUUCCUCAAGAUGCUUUUGUGCCUGGCUCAUGUUUGGAGAUUAUUAUCUGUGGAGUGAAAGUAAGCUGUAAAGUUGUGUGGAUGCUGCAUGCUAUCAGUAGAUAACCAUAAUUUGGUGAACAGAGAAGAUAGGAAGCAUAUUAUCAUACUGACAGACCACGCUGGAAURAGUUUGACUCGCUGCAGAAUAASAGCGUGACYCAUCAAGGUAAUUAAUAGUUUMCUUUGAAAAUGUAUUCAUUGGGAUUCAUAAACGUCAAGUA